rnacentral:rRNA from 1 species
UCCAGACUCCUACGGGAGGCAGCAGUGGGGAAUAUUGCACAAUGGGCGCAAGCCUGAUGCAGCCAUGCCGCGUGUGUGAAGAAGGCCUUCGGGUUGUAAAGCACUUUCAGUUGUGAGGAAGGUGGUGUUGUGAAUAGCAGCAUCAUUUGACGUUAGCAACAGAAGAAGCACCGGCUAACUCCGUGCCAGCAGCCGCGGUAAUACGGAGGGUGCGAGCGUUAAUCGGAAUUACUGGGCGUAAAGCGCAUGCAGGUGGUUUGUUAAGUCAGAUGUGAAAGCCCCGGGCUCAACCUGGGAAUUGCAUUUGAAACUGGCAAACUAGAGUACUGUAGAGGGGGGUAGAAUUUCAGGUGUAGCGGUGAAAUGCGUAGAGAUCUGAAGGAAUACCGGUGGCGAAGGCGGCCCCCUGGACAGAUACUGACACUCAGAUGCGAAAGCGUGGGGAGCAAACAGGAUUAGAUACCCUGGUAGUCCACGCCGUAAACGAUGUCUACUUGGAGGUUGUGGCCUUGAGCCGUGGCUUUCGGAGCUAACGCGUUAAGUAGACCGCCUGGGGAGUACGGUCGCAAGAUUAAAACUCAAAUGAAUUGACGGGGGCCCGCACAAGCGGUGGAGCAU